rnacentral:rRNA from 1 species
GGGUAGAGUAAUGCGUGACCAACCUGCCCCAUGCUCCAGAAUAGCUCUUGGAAACGGGUGGUAAUGCUGGAUGCUCCAACUUGACGCAUGUCUUGUUGGGAAAGUGUUUAGUGGCAUGGGAUGGGGUCGCGUCCUAUCAGCUUGUAGGCGGGGUAAUGGCCCACCUAGGCUUCGACGGGUAGCCGGCCUGAGAGGGCGGACGGCCACAUUGGGACUGAGAUACGGCCCAGACUCCUACGGGAGGCAGCAGAC